UGUUAUGUCGCGUGACUUUUUGCUAAAUUUUGCUUAAGCUUAAAAUUUGUAUGCCAAUUUAACAAGCUGAUUGAUCAAUAUAUACUUUAUAUAUAAAUAUUACCUUAUGAUACCUUCACGUUUUAGAAAAUAUGAUAGUUAUAUACUAUGUAUUACAAAUGCACCAAGCCAUCAUGUGCGGGUAAAGGGAUAUUUAAAAACAAUAUCUUUCAUGUAUCCAAACAAUGCACUGCUCUUGCCUGCUUAGAAAGUUUAUCUAAAAUAUUUUCUCCAGCAUCAUUUGAGACCAUAACCAACCCAGAAUAUAUUGCUAAUAUGCUAUCUUGUUAACCUGGAAAUUUUCUUCUUAGAAUAUAUUGCUAAUAUGCUAUCUUGUUAACCUGGAAAUUUUCUUCUUAGCAUCAAUUGAUAUAAUCCAUUCAGGA